rnacentral:rRNA from 1 species
UACGUAGGGGGCGAGCGUUGUCCGAAGUUACUGGGCGUAAAGCGCGCGUAGGCGGCUUUUUAAGUUUGAGGUGAAAGGUUCAGCGCUCAACGUGAACAGUGCCUUGAAUACUGGGAAGCUUGAAUGUGGCAGAGGAUCGUGGAAUUUCUGGUGUAGCGGUGAAAUGCGUAGAUAUCAGAAGGAACACCAAUGGCGAAGGCAGCGAUCUGGGCUAAUAUUGACGCUGAGGUGCGAAAGCGUGGGGAGCGAACGGG